rfam:Stegodyphus mimosarum contig38887, whole genome shotgun sequence.
GCCAUCGUGGUUUAGUGGUCAGCACGCUCGGCGCGUAUUCGAGAGGUCCGUGGUUCGAGUCCCGGUGAAGACA